GUGCCAGCAGCCGCGGUAAUACGGAGGGUGCAAGCGUUAUCCGGAAUCACUGGGUUUAAAGGGUGCGUAGGCGGAAUAAUAAGUCAGGCGUGAAAGGUCACGGCUCAACUGUGGAAUUGCGUUUGAUACUGUUAUUCUUGAAUUAAGAUGGGGUCAGCGGAAUGCGACAUGUAGCGGUGAAAUGCAUAGAUAUGUCGUAGAACACCGAUUGCGAAGGCAGCUGACUGGACUUUGAUUGACGCUGAGGCACGAAAGCGGGGGGAGCGAACAGGAUUAGAUACCCAAGUAGUCC
rnacentral:rRNA from 1 species